rnacentral:misc_RNA from 1 species
CGUGAAACUACCCGUGUCUGUUGCACAAGUAUUUCACGUCCCCUUCGUCUAGAGGCCCAGGACACCGCCCUUUCACGGCGGUAACAGGGGUUCGAAUCCCCUAGGGGACGCCACUUGCUUGGUGACAGGUGAAAGGUGUUGCCCACAUAUCUUAAAGAUGACUUGCGAGUCAUGUUUAAGAUAUUGCUCUUUAACAAUCCGGAACAAGCUGAAAAUUUGAAACGACACAGCGUCGCAUUCUUCCGUAAUAAAGAACUGAUGACGGUGUGUUCGAGUCUCUCAAAAGCUCACGACACGCAGCGUAAAACGCCUGUGGGUUGUGAGGUUAAGCGACUAAGCGUACACGGUGGAUGCCCUGGCA